UUAAAGCACUCUUCACCUUCAGUGCAAACUUCUGUAAAUUAAUCCAGCCUACAGUUUUCAACAUUGAUGUGACUUGCACAACAAUUGAGGAGUUUAAGAUCCUUGCUUUUAGUUUACCUGGCAGAGUGGACACUCUUUAUUAUGAUGAUCAUUUAAAUGUAUACUGUAUCAAUGAGAGGAUUUGUUUUAUGUUCUUCCAAUUAAGGACUUGGUUUAUUACAGUCCCUGUGGCAAGUAGUUUUCUGCAUGGUCAGCAUUGAAGGCCAUAUUGUCUUUGAGAGGGUCCAGCUGACAAUCCAGACAGGACAGCGUUGUCCAUCUUCUACAUCUUCAACCUCCAAUAUCAUCAUGAGGCAGCCAAGACUUUGGGUCGCUUCAUUGGGAUUAACCCAGAAAGGGGCACAAAAGCCGGUCAUGGGAAGAUGGUAUCCAAAAACACUGGAAAGACCA